UCCUCAAUAGCUCAGUUGGUAGAGCAUGCGGCUGUUAACCGCAGGGUCACAGGUUCGAGUCCUGUUUGAGGAGCCA
rnacentral:tRNA from 1 species